ensembl:snRNA U6 U6 spliceosomal RNA
AUACUCUUAUUUCAGCAGCACAUAUACUAAAAUUGGAAUGAUACAGGGAAGAUUAGCACGAUUCCUGCACAAAGAUGACACACAAAUUUGUGAAUUGUUCCAUAUUUUG